CUUAAAAUAAAAUAAAACUUUUAAAAAGAUACAAAAGCAAAGUUUCACUGUUAAAAUUUGUAAGAGUCAAUUUUAUUAUUUAUUUUACCUUUUUAAGAUCAUGAAAUAAUUAUAUCAUUCUCCCUUCCUUUCCCAUAUCCCAAGCUAUCCUAUAUAUCAUUCUUGUUCUCUUUCAAAUUUAUAGCCUCUUUAUUUAUUACUUGUCAUUACAUAUAUUACAUGCAUUAUAAAUGUAUACACACAUAUAGAGAUAUAGAUAUAUACAUACAUAUUCUUAUAUACAUACAUAGAACAUAUUCAAUCUGUACAGUGUUACUUAAAUGCAACUUUUCAGGGCUGAGAUUUUGCUAUUAAAUAACAUUUUGUUGUGCUCCUCUCUGAGGAAGACUUUUUCUCAGACUCUGGCUGCAAUAGUGACAACGGGUCUCUAAUUGGACUUACCAUUCACUUCACAAGAGGGAAAUCAUACCUGAUCCUGGAAAUGUACCCAUCAACCUAAAAGUUGUGAAGUCAUGGAUCUUGAAUGAAAACCUACAAUGUCCACUUUACUAGACCACCAUAAUCGCUAAAUGCAUUCUAAUAUCUGUCCUUAUAUGCACAGGUAAACCCUCAUCACUCAUCAUGAAAACUCCCAUUUAAAAUAGAUUAAUACCAUGACAGAAAACCAUAGCAAAUCUUAUUGCAGAGUAUUGAACCUGGACCCAACAGAUACAGCUAUAAGAUGGGAUUUUUACACUGACCAUUCAAAGGAAGUUUUUAACUGAAAACACCAUCUUAGUGAGACUGGUAAUCUUAAGGUAUAAAUAAAAACUCCUUUUUAUCACAGUUAGUUCAGUUUAAAAACUCAGCAUGUUUUACCCCAUGGUGAAGUGUAUUUCUUUAUUCUUCGUAUUACUAAAUGUUAUUGUUGAGAGAUAUUCUGUUUUAUUUCACAACUACCAAAUAUGCCUUGCUACAUACUGCUUAAAUAUGAGCUUCAUAGAAUACAAAUAAACAGUGUCGUUUUUAAAAUAACAAUAGCUGUCACUUUCACAAGAAAGCAGUCUUUAAUUUAUCAAGGUUUUAACAGAGAGUGCAAAGACACUCCUAAACAAGUCCAAUAUCAAAUAUGUUCUUGGAGAGUAAUUAUGGUUAGUUUCUGCGAAGUUCUAAUGAUUACUGGUAAAGAAGAACAAUGUUGCCAUUAAGUGGAUGCAUGACUAGGAGAUGAAAUGACAACUUUGAAAAGUCCUUAGAUAAUUAUAAAGAAUAACGAAAGAUGAAAUAUGAUCAAUAUUUUGGCCAAUGACAGUGGGGACUAAAUGAAGAUGAAAAGUUGAAUUAACCAUAACAAGAUUCUGGAGAAAGAAGGAAAUAAUUGUGUAUGUAUAUGGGGAAAAGAUUUCAAAGGUAGAAGUUAGUAGAUCACAAGCAAUGAAGAAGAAGAAUGAGGAAGGGAGGAUAGGGCAGCAGAAUAAAGACAGCUAUAUUUCCACUCAUCAGGAAACUUCAAGUCAGAGAUACUACAGCAAGUAGCAUUUUUAGCCUAGCUUUACAGAAAUGAGGAGAAAUCCAAAGGAAAAAAAUUCAAAAUGUCAACUGAAAGAACAGGUGCACCACAAGUUAUUUCAGUCACCUUUACAAAAUUGUAAUGAGUUUUAUGAGCCUAAAAAGAAUAACAGCAACAUUAGGACAAUGUCUUCCAAUUGAUUUCUACAGUAUGGAGAAAGAUCUACUCCAUACUGGUAGGGCAUUGCAUUCAUGGUCCUAGGAUGUAUUUCGAGAACAACAUGGAAAGUAUCAUAAUAAUAUAUCUUUUCUAUAUAUGUUUAUUUGCACUAUAUUAAUGGGUGGUUGGUUAAAAACACUUAUUUGUUGGUAUUAUUCUGCUAAAGUAAAAUAGCAAUAAAAUGAUUCCUAUUAAUAUUCUGCUGUACCUAUAGUUCAGUGUCUUUCUUAUCCCACAUCAAAGAAGGUUCUUCUUGAAGUAGAUAGAUGGGAACUAACACAGACUCACAAAUUAAAAAUGUGAAGAGAGUUUGGAGUACUCAGUCUUAAAUGGAGUAUCUCCAUGAAACCCCUUCUCCAGGCUUAGUGAUCUAUGGAAAGGGAAGGCAGAAAGAUUAUAAGAGUCAGAUGAUGCCAAGGAAACAGUGUCUUCCAGACACAAUAGGGUUGACACACAUGAGAAUUAACAAAAAGAGUAGCAACACCCGCAGAUCCUGAACAGGUUUUAACAAGUGGAGUCCCUGCACUAGGAAGAGUAGUGGACACCAGGUCUCAACCCAAACCAAGAAGCUACCUGAAAUUGAUAUUCUGGCAAAAUGAAGAGCAAUUUUCUCCAAAAGUUUCAAUGGGCAAGUAAAUCACAUUCCAGGAUAGCCUCCAUUUGUGUAGUAAUUGUAGAGUAUAAAAAGAACUUGACAGUAUUUUCAUGGAUGUUUUGUAUCAUUCUCCUUAUUUUGGCAAUUUUAUUUUUUUUGCUUUUUAGGCUUUUGUACAGUUUUGGAAUUUGUGUUUUUUGCAUUUGCUUGCUCUUUGAAAGAGGUAAGGAGAAUCCUUGGGAAUUAUGGGAGGGGAAAACAUGACUUAAAUAUACGAAUACAUUUGAAUAUUUUGAAAAUGUGAUAUUUUCUAAAAAUAUAUGAACUUAUAGAUAAUUGAAAGCUGGACAUUUUCAACAAAGAAAACCUGCAUAGAAUUUUUUUCUGUAUUAAAGG
rnacentral:lncRNA from 1 species